UUAUGUCCCCUGAGACACUUGAAUUGGCACGUACGAUUAGUAUGUUUCUUGGACCAUGAGUACCAUUACACUGUGCACGUAUCCUCUCUUAUGAAAUUUAACCUUUAAAGCCAGUAAUUGCUUUUUUUGAGAAAGGAAAAUGGAUAUUCAAAAUAUUGAGUGCCUAUUGAUUGUAGAAACUGAAAAAGAAGACUGUAAAAACAGUGGAAUAUGUGAUGAGAUUUUAGCAGAAGUGAAGAAGUUAUUGGUAUUAGCAGGGCCACUUAUGUCAGUGAAUUUUUCACUAUUUGCCUUACAGGUUAUAUCUGUUAUGUUUGUUGGUCAUCUUGGAGAGUUAGCUCUUUCUGGUGCUUCUAUGGCUACUUCUUUUGCUUCUGUAACUGGUCUCACCUUGUUGAUGGGAUUGGCAAAUGCACUUGACACUUUAUGUCGGCAAUCAUACGGUGCAAAGCAGUAUCAUAUGGUCGGUAUACAUAUGCAAAGGGCAAUGUUUGUUCUUCUACUUGUCAGUUUUCCUCUUGUCUUCAUUUGGGCUGAUGCAGGACAAACUCUUGUAUUAUUGGGACAAGAUCCAGAAAUAGCAGCUGAAGCAGGAAGUCAUGCGUGCUAUAUGAUUCCAUCUAUCUACGCGUACGGGUUUCUCCAGUGUCAUAUUAGAUUUCUACAAGCCCAAAACAUUGUGCUACCGAUGAUGUUCAGUGCCGGAAUUACUACUUUGCUGCAUAUAUUCACUUGUUGGAUUCUGGUCUUUAAAUCUGGCUUCGGCAACAAAGGUGCUGCUCUGGCUAACGCUAUAUCCUACUGGAUCAAUUUCUUGUUGCUAGCAGCAUAUGUCAGAAUAUCGCCUUCCUGCAAAGGCACUUGGACCGGAUUUUCAAAAGAGGCUUUUUGUGAUACUUGGAAAUAUCUUAAACUUGCCAUUCCCUCAGCUGCUAUGUUCUGCUUAGAGAUUUGGUCUUACGAAACAAUGGUUCUGUUGUCUGGACUUCUUCCAAAUCCGAAGCUCGAGACCUCAGUUCUUUCAAUCAGCCUUAAUACGUGUUGGAUGGUGUAUAUGAUACCUCUAGGACUAAGUGGCGCCACGAGCGUAAGAGUUUCAAAUGAACUAGGUGCGGGACGACCUCAAGCAGCUCGUUUAGCAGCUUGCACAGCAGUGUUCUUGGUGGCUACAGAAGGCAUUGUUGCAGCGAUAGUUAUGAUUUCGGUUCGUAAACUCUGGGGCUACUGUUAUAGCACUGAGGAAGAAGUAGUGGGAUAUGUAGCAAAAAUGCUAGUCUUGAUAGUAGGAUCCUACUUCUUAGAUGGUAUUCAGUCUGUACUUUCAGGUUUGUCCAAAUUUUGGAACAUAAGUUUCUCAUUGCUAGGUUUCUUCAAUAGUUGUCUAAGAUAUGACUCCCUCAGUCCCUCUGUUCCAUUUUAUGUGACACUAUUUUUUAUUAGUCGUUAUAAAAGAAUGACACCUUUCUGCAUUUGGAAACAAUCUAACUUUAAACAUCUCAUUUUCCCCCUAAUGACAUGCUUUUGUAGCGAUAGAAAUCUCAUGGCAUGUUUAAGAACACAAGUUCCGAAAGUUUUUUUUCCUUUUUUUUUUGAACUUCGUGUCCAGUCAAACGCCGCCAGAUAAAUUGAAAUGAAGGGAGUACAAUCUUUUUGAAGAAGUGUUAAAUGACGAGAUGGCCUUAUCAGCUAACAAAAUCCAGGUGCUGCAAGAGGGUGUGGCUGGCAAAAGAUAGGGGCAGUCAUAAACUUAGGAGCUUAUUACCUUUUCGGAAUACCUGCUGGUGUUAUAUUAGCUUUUGUCUACCAUUUUGGUGGAAAGGGACUAUGGUUGGGAAUCACUGCACAAG